AUUGAACGCUGGCGGCAGGCCUAACACAUGCAAGUCGAGCGGUAGAGAGAAGCUUGCUUCUCUUGAGAGCGGCGGACGGGUGAGUAAUGCCUAGGAAUCUGCCUGAUAGUGGGGGAUAACGUCCGGAAACGGACGCUAAUACCGCAUACGUCCUACGGGAGAAAGUGGGGGCUCUUCGGACCUCACGCUAUCAGAUGCGCCUAGGUCGGAUUAGCUAGUUGGGGGGGUAAAGGCUCACCAAGGCGACGAUCCGUAACUGGUCUGAGAGGAUGAUCAGUCACACUGGAACUGAGACACGGUCCAGACUCCUACGGGAGGCAGCAGUGGGGAAUAUUGGACAAUGGGCGAAAGCCUGAUCCAACCAUGCCGCGUGUGUGAAGAAGGUCUUCGGAUUGUAAAGUACUUUAAGUUGGGAGGAAGGGUCGUUACCUAAUACGUGACGAUUUUGACGUUACCGACAGAAUAAGCACCGGCUAACUCUGUGCCAGCCGCCGCCGUAAGAC
rnacentral:rRNA from 1 species